rnacentral:rRNA from 1 species
UACGAAGGGUGCAAGCGUUGUUCGGAAUUACUGGGCGUAAAGCGCGCGUAGGCGGUUUGAUAAGUUGGGAGUGAAAUCCCGGGGCGUCAACUCCGGAAUUGCUUUCAAAACUAAUCAAUCUAGAGUAUGGCAGGGGACGAGUGGAAUUCCUAGUGUAGAGGUGAAAUUCGUAGAUAUUAGGAGGAACACCAGUGGCGAAAGCGACUGUCUGGACCAUUACUGACGCUGAGGCGCGAAAGCGUGGGGAGCAAACAGGAUUAGAAACCC